rnacentral:rRNA from 1 species
GACGAACGCUGGCGGCGUGCCUAACACAUGCAAGUCGAACGAAGCAUAGCAAUAUGCUUAGUGGCGGACGGGUGAGUAACGCGUGAACAAUCUGCCCUGUACAAAGGAAUAGCCUCGGGAAACCGGGAUUAAAACCGUAUGACACUUUAGUAUCGCAUGAUAAGAAAGUCAAAUCGAAUAGAGGUAUGGGAUGAGUUCGCGUCUGAUUAGCUGGUUGGCGGGGUAACGGCCCACCAAGGCGACGAUCAGUAGCCGGCCUGAGAGGGUGAACGGCCACACUGGAACUGAGACACGGUCCAGACUCCUACGGGAGGCAGCAGUGGGGAAUAUUGCACAAUGGAGGGAACUCUGAUGCAGCGACGCCGCGUGAGUGAAGAAGGUCUUCGGAUCGUAAAACUCUGUCCUUGGUGAAGAAAAGGACGGUAGCCAAGGAGGAAGCCCCGGGCUAACUACGUG